rnacentral:lncRNA from 1 species
GCGGGGACCAUCAUUUUCCUUCGCUGCCACCACCGUCUUCGUCCCAUUUUUCACCAGCUUCACAGCUCCCUCACGCCACCUUUGCCGGGCCUUCCUCCUCCUUGCGCUCGGCUCGCCCCGCUGCCCGCCUCCUCUCACCACUCCAUCAUCGCUGCCCUUCAUCGUUCCUCUAGCUAGUGGCCACAGCCAGCUCGCCGUCAUUGCCCCGCCUCGCCCCUCCGAGCUCGCCCAGUCGUUGAACUACCGCUGCCUAUUCAAGCUCCGGCCGCUGCCUGACGAGCUGUGAGUAUGUGCAUUGUGGGGUGUUGCGUGCGUGCCGGGAGCAGCGAAAGGAUGUGCGGACGUGUUCGUGUAUGUGUGCGUGAGUGAUGAGCGAGUGUAGGGUGGGAGCGCGUGAGAGUGAGGUAGGUGCAGAGUCCAAUGAGAUGGCCAGCAUGAUCGCACACAAAUGAUGGCUGGCCGAAUCCUCACCUUCUCAAGAGGAUUAGGACGUGCACAAUUUAAUUUCAAGUGUGUAUUUCAACUCCCAUACCCUAUAAGGUGGCAAAGUAAAAAUCUGAGAGUGAGAGUUAGAGUAACAAUAGAGUAGAAUCGACAAAAAAAAAAAAGAUAAGCAUGUCUAGCGAUUGUGUGUGCAUAAAGUGUAACCCCGCGGAUGUGUAGGUGUUUUGCCUAGGUGUAUCCUAGUCCCAUCAAAUGAAUGGAUCAAAUCAAGAAAAUGCCAACUUAAAUUGAC